rnacentral:rRNA from 1 species
GUGGGGAAUAUUGCGCAAUGGGGGAAACCCUGACGCAGCGACGCCGUGUGAGGGAAGAAGGCUUUCGGGUCGUAAACCUCUGUCAGAAAGGAAGAACCUCCCAAGUCCGAAUAGGGCUUGGGACUGACGGUACUUUCAAAGGAAGCACCGGCUAACUCCGUGCCAGCAGCCGCGGUAAUACGGAGGGUGCAAGCGUUAAUCGGAAUCACUGGGCGUAAAGCGCGCGUAGGCCGCUUUGUAAGUCGGACGUGGAAGCCCUCGGCUCAACCGGGGAACUGCGUUCGAUACUGCGAGGCUUGAGUCCUGGAGAGGGUGGCGGAAUUCCGGGUGUAGGAGUGAAAUCCGUAGAUAUCCGGAGGAACACCGGUGGCGAAGGCGGUCACCUGGACAGGUACUGACGCUGAGGCGCGAAAGCGUGGGGAGCAAACAGGAUUAGAAACCCUAGUAGUCC